UUUUGUUUUUAUUAUUGUUUCUUUAUAACGGUGAAAGAAGUUCACGGUCGGGGCUGCCUUGGAUUUAAUGAUGCCGUGUUGUCUUAGAUUUGGAAUAACAUUGCUGUUAGCAGUGUUAGUCACUGAAGUUUGGACGCAGAACCCCCCUCUAGGCUCGGUGAGGACAGAAUGUCAAGGGAGUGUUAUGAUGAUGAUGUUGGAGAAGUCUUUUGUUGGAAAGUAUUUUCGCAACAAUGUGAUUGACAAUAAGGGGGCGCUUGUGUCCCUCUCUCCAAGACUGGCCGCACAGUGUGGAUAUAGCUUAACUGUUGACUUCUUGGGGAAAUGCCAAGUUCCUUGCUUCUGUGCUGAGCUGCUUUGCUCAGAACACAAAUGAUGAGACCUACAAGCUGACAGUACAAAUCAGUGUCUUCUCAAACAGUGCUAUGACUUCAGCUUCCUCCUAUGUUCAGAGCAUGACAUGCCGCUAUUCUCCAUGGGCAGAGAGGGAGAUUCUGUGUGAAAGAAACUACAUGGAGGUUUCUGUGAGAAGAGGGGUGCCACUUAUUGAGCCAGACUUUGUUCAAGAUGAUCCUGAUUGGUCCCUUGCAUUCCCUGAG